UACGUAGGGUGCGAGCGUUGUUCGGAAUUACUGGGCGUAAAGCGCACGUAGGCGGACAUUUAAGUCAGGGGUGAAAUCCCAGAGCUCAACUCUGGAACUGCCUUUGAUACUGGGUGUCUUGAGUAUGGAAGAGGUGAGUGGAAUUCCGAGUGUAGAGGUGAAAUUCGUAGAUAUUCGGAGGAACACCAGUGGCGAAGGCGGCUCACUGGUCCAUUACUGACGCUGAGGUGCGAAAGCGUGGGGAGCAAACAGG
rnacentral:rRNA from 1 species